rnacentral:rRNA from 1 species
AUUGAACGCUGGCGGCGUGCUUAACACAUGCAAGUCGAGCGGAGCGGCGAACGGGUGAGUAACGCGUGAGUAACUGCCCCCCUCUCUGGGAUGACAGUUGGCAACGGCUGCUAAUCCCGGAUAGUGGGGGAUGACUCGCGUCCUAUCAGCUUGUGGGUGGGGUAGUGGCCUACCAAGGCGACGACGGGUAGCCGGCCUGAGAGGGCGACCGGCCACAUUGGGCUGAGAUAGGGCCCAAACUUCUACGGGAGGCAGCAGGGGGGAAUAUUGUACAAUGGGGGAAACCCUGAUGCAGCAACGCCGCGGGUGGGAUGACGGCCUUCGGGUUGUAAACCGCUUUCAGCUAUGACGCGGUAGUGGCAGAAGAAGCACCGGCUAACUACGUGCCAGCCGCCGCGGUAAUUC